GCAUAGCAAGAUGUUUCACUCUCGCCAAAAUGUCUAAAAUAAGCAGAAUUUGUUCCUAUGGGCUUAUUUUUGACCUAAUCACCUGCUUUCCUGCCUUUGGGACAACGACUCCAUUGUUGGGGCGGAGAUAUGAGCAUCUCGUCGUUAUAUACCGAUCUCUGCCUCACUUGCCUACUGCUGCUGCGUACUGUACCUUACGACUCACUGACAGUUGUGACUGCGGAGAUGUCCAAGGCUCCAGAUUCCCCUGCACGGUCCCGCUCCAGAUCAAAGUCCAGAUCCCGGUCUUACACGCGGUCUCGCUCGAGAAGCCGCUCCAGAUCCAGGAAGCACCGCUACAGCUUCCUCAAACGCACAGAAAAUUCCAGGUCUCGCUCCCGCUCCAGAUCUCACUCUCCGUCCCACGGCAGGAACUAUCCCACCAGAGACUACCAGAACAACCAGGGUUACCAGGGUUACCAGAGAGGCUACAACCGCGGCUUCCGCAGACCCUUCUACUUCCGCGGUAGAACCCGGGGCUUCUACCCUCGCCGUGGUUACCAGAGAGGAGGGAACAGCUAUGGCUACAGAGCCAACAACUGGCGGGGGGGUGGCUACCGGGACGGGCCACACCGCGACCAGGAUCACCACGGUCCGCAUAGCCCCAGGAGAGGCCGCUCACGCUCCCGCACUCCUAGGAAACGCUCGGGCAGCCGCAGCCACUCUCGGUCUCGAUACUCUGACCGCUCGUCCUCCAGGGGUUCUCGGUGGUCUCGGGGGCGCCACAGCUCGUCUCGCUCCCGCUCCUCGUCCCCGCGGCACCGCCGCAGCAGCCCUAGCUCGGGGAAGCCCGGCUCCAAGGAUGUAAAGGACACACCUACGCCAGCAGAGGCCAAGGGGGAGAGCGGAGGAGGGGCUGGGGAGCAGGCAGAAGGACAGGGGGGAGAAGCCAGUAGUCAUGAUAAGGAUUCUGCUGGGAAAUGGCAGGGUCUGAGUGACUAUGACACCAGCCCCAAACGCAGCAGUCCUGCUGUUGCUGCCAACCAGGGAAAAUCAGAACCCAAAGGGCCGUUGUGGAGAACCAUCGGCAGCACUGGCAGUGCUCCCUCCACCCACAGCCCACCGGGCUCCACCAAGGCCGUGCCAACCGCCUCCUUCAGCGGGUUUGGCUUCCUUGGCAAGGAGGAUCCCACCAGGGCAGACGAUAAGAGUGCCAUUUCCUCUGCUUUCAAAAAGUUCUUGGCAGAAAACAAGAGCAAAAAGCAGCAGGCGGCGGCAGAGUGGGAGAAUGGCCGGGACAGGGACCAAAGCACCACGGACGGAGACGGCAGAGAGAAAGGCAAGAGCAGGACUAGCAGUGGCCUCUUAAACAUAACAGCAGCUUCCUUCAGCUCCAAGGCCGAUAAGUCCCUGCCCUUCCUGGACAAAGCUGAAGAGGCCUUCCUCAAGUCUCAGGCUGCAGGGAGGGAGAGGGAGAGGGAGGCGGAAGAGGAGGCCAAGCCCAAAGGAGCCACCCUGACGACACGGGACGUGUUUGGGAAGUGGGAAGACGAGCCCCAUUACUACCCCCCAGGGAAGGACGAGGAGAGACUGAGAGACACGGCCGACGACGUGGUGGAAGACCUGGAGCACAUGGAAGAGGAGCUCUACCGCAGCCGCAAGCAGGCGUCCAAGAAAGAAGAGAAGUCCAAGAAGAAGGAGAAGAAAGACAAGGAGAAGAGCAGUACGUCCCCAGCCAUAGUAACCGUGGCCCUUAGGGGUUCAGGUAGCAGGGAGAAGGACAGGCCCCUGGCCCUAUUCCCCGUCUCUAGGGUGGAGUCACCCCUACUCAGGCCCUCUGGAAAGAGGGAUGACUUUGAGCUUAGUAUCAACUCCUUUGACAAGAUGCCCAGCUCCUCUGGAGGUCUGACCAAGGAGCGUGGUAUGUCCAGGGAUCUGGUGCAUCCCGCUAAGAAAGAUCACGGAGAGUUCCGUUCCAUCUUCCAGCAUAUUCAGGCGGCUCAGCUCAGACGCAGCCCCUCGGAGCUGUUUGCGCAGCACAUUGUCACCAUUGUGCACUACAUCAAAGCCCAACAUUUCAGCUCUUCAAGCAUGACUUUAAGUGAGCGAUUUGCCAUGUACCAAAGAAAAGCCGCUGAGAUGGAAUUGAUGAAGCCAAGGAAGAGUCCAGAAAUCCAUAGGAGAAUCGAUGUCUCCCCCAGUGCGUUUAAGAGACACUCUCACCUGCUAGAGGAGCUGGAGGAGUGCAGCUACAAGGAUCAGGGUAAAAAACCUAAAGGUGACCCAAUGGACCUGCGUCUGGAUAUAGAGCGCCGUAAAAGGUUUUCUGGGAAGGAGCCUGGGCAGCAUAAACGGGACGGGGGCAAGGGCUCCGGAGGCUCCCGAGGACCCAGCCAAGAGAGGUCCUCAGAGAAAUCUGCCAAACACCACAAGAAAUCCAAAAAAACCAAGAAGAAGCGUGAUCGCUCUCCAUCCUCCUCCUCUUCCUCCUCCUCUCCCUCUCCCUUCAGAGGAGGGUUCAGAGGUAAAGACCACAUGAUGGGGGAGGAGAUGGAGCACAUGGACCAGGGCUACAGUAAACCUCGCUUCGGGCCCCGGGACUACGGAGGCCCCAUGGAUAGGGGUCUCCCCCGGGAUUAUGAGGGCCACAUGGAGAGGGGUCCCCCCCGGGAUUAUGAGGGCCACAUGGAUAGGGGCCGAGGACGUGGAGGAGGAUUUCUCCCCAGAGUGAGAGGAGGUGGAAGGGGCUGGAACAGGGGCAAUUACCAAGGAAAUAACAACAGCAACCCCCCUCCUAAUAUGAGCAACGCCCCCCCAGAGCGCCCACCAGACGAGGAGUGGGACCCAGAGUACACUCCUAAGAGCAGGAAAUAUUACUUUCAUGAUGACCGAGAGGGAGAGAAGACGUGGCUGGAGAGCCGCGGCCGAGGGGCAUUCCCCCGCAGCAGGGGACGCUUCAUCUACCGCAAGGGCGGCAGCAGCCCCAACAAGUGGACUCAUGACAAGUUCCAGGGGGAUGGGGAGGAGGGGGGUGAGCAUGGGGAGGAGCACCACACAGAGAUGGACCAUAAAGACAACAUCCAGUCCGGAGACCCCUCAGCUUCCAAGCUGUAGUAGACCCUCCUCUUCCUUCCUCCAGAGCUUUCUGUCCAUCUGUUUGAGGUCAUCUGAUUAUCUGCCGUCAUCUCUGUGUAAGCUUGAAGAGCCUAAACUCUGGCUACCUAGUCAGUCACAGCAUCAGAAUGUACACGGUUGUUUUCCUAUCAUUGACUCAAGCCACUUUCAGUAAGGGUUAUAUGGGAGAAAAUGUUUAAUUGAACUUGAAUUAAGGGGCGAGCUACUUCUUAUUUUUUUUAAAUUACUACCAGUAAUUUGUAUUUGUUUCUGGGUGUAAAGAUGUGCUUUGUUUGUCUUUUUAUCUGUAUUUGCUUGUUUGUUACGAACAAUAGUCUCCUGUGGGACAUCGUCUCCUGUGGGAUAUACUACAAAACAGGAUAAAGGAGUUGAAUUUGGCAGUACGUCCAACAGGCCUCACAACAGCAGACCACGUGUAACCAUGCCAGACCUGGACCUCCACAUCCGGCUUCUUCACCUGCGGGAUCAUCUGAGACUAGCCACCAGACAGCUGAUGAAACUGAGGAGUAGUUCUGUCUGUAAUAAAGCCAUUUUGUGGGGAAAGACUCAAUCUGAUUGGCUGGGCCUGGUUCCCCAGUGGUUCCAUGUGAAAUACAUAGAUUAGGGCUUAAUGAACUUAUUUCAAUUGACUGAUUUUCCUUAUGAACUGUAACUCAGUAAAAUAAGUGAGAUUGUUGCGUUUUUCAUAUUUUUGUUCCGUCUAGAAUAGCAGUUUAUGGGCUUCAUCAUUUUCGUCCUUCCGUAAUGUUCUACAUCAAAAGGUAAACCUGUACUAUUGAGGUUAUGGCACAAGAUGACAAGUAUAACUUUUCCCUGUAUGUGGCAAAUAAAUACUGUCAAACUAUACUUGUUGGUGGAGCACGAACACAGGUGAGUAGACGUCGAGGAGCAGGUUUAGUCAGCUACAGUGCAAGACUGCUGCUUUGUGCAGUCUACCCCAAGACUGCAUUGUGUCCAUAUUGUAUGUAUUGAGCAUACCGUAACUGUAGGAUUCUAUUCUUUGUUUUUACGCUCUUACUCGAAACAGAAGCUGACAUCUUUUCUACUGUUCCCUCAGAGAUUUUAAGUACUUGUCAUUAAUUUCCAAUAAAUAUUUUCUCUGGUUCACUUGAA